rnacentral:rRNA from 1 species
UACGUAGGGUGCGAGCGUUGUCCGGAAUUAUUAGGGCGUGAAAGGCUCGUAGGCGGUUUGUCGCGUCGGGAGUGAAAUCCACUGGCUUAACUGGUGGCUUGCUUUCGAUAACGGGCAGUACUGGAGGUAUGGCAGGGGAGGAACGGAAUUCCUGGUGUAGGCAGGUGAAAUGCGCAGAUAUCAGGAGGACACCGGUGCGAAGGCGGUUCUCUGGGCAUGUCCUGACGCUGAGGAGCGAAAGUGUGGGAGCGAACAGG